rnacentral:rRNA from 1 species
GAUGAACGCUGGCGGCGUGCCUAAUACAUGCAAGUCGAGCGAACAGACGAGGAGCUUGCUCCUCUGACGUUAGCGGCGGACGGGUGAGUAACACGUGGAUAACCUACCUAUAAGACUGGGAUAACUUCGGGAAACCGGAGCUAAUACCGGAUAAUAUAUUGAACCGCAUGGUUCAAUAGUGAAAGACGGUUUUGCUGUCACUUAUAGAUGGAUCCGCGCCGCAUUAGCUAGUUGGUAAGGUAACGGCUUACCAAGGCAACGAUGCGUAGCCGACCUGAGAGGGUGAGCGGCCACACUGGAACUGAGACACGGUCCAGACUCCUACGGGAGGCAGCAGUAGGGAAUCUUACGCAAUGGGCGAAAGCUUGACGGAGCAACGCCGCGUGAGUGAUGAAGGUCUUCGGAUCGUAAAACUCUGUUAUUAGGGAAGAACAAAUGUGUAAGUAACUAUGCACGUCUUGACGGUACCUAAUCAGAAAGCCACGGCUAACUACGUG